rnacentral:rRNA from 1 species
UACGUAGGGUGCGAGCGUUGUCCGGAAUUAUUGGGCGUAAAGGGCUCGUAGGCGGUUUGUCGCGUCGGGAGUGAAAUCCACUGGCUUAACUGGUGGCUUGCUUUCGAUACGGGCAGACUGGAGGUAUGCAGGGGAGAACGGAAUUCCUGGUGUAGCGGUGAAAUGCGCAGAUAUCAGGAGGAACACCGGUGGCGAAGGCGGCAUCCUGGACCGACACUGACACUGAGGAGCGAAAGCCAGGGGAGCGAACGGG